rnacentral:rRNA from 1 species
GACGAACGCUGGCGGCGUGCUUAACACAUGUAAGUCGAACGCUGAAGCUUGGUGCUUGCACUGGGUGGAUGAGUGGCGAACGGGUGAGUAAUACGUGAGUAACCUGCCCUUGACUCUGGGAUAAGCCUGGGAAACUGGGUCUAAUACUGGAUACGACAUGUCACCGCAUGGUGGUGUGUGGAAAGGGUUUUACUGGUUUUGGAUGGGCUCACGGCCUAUCAGCUUGUUGGUGGGGUAAUGGCUCACCAAGGCGACGACGGGUAGCCGGCCUGAGAGGGUGACCGGCCACACUGGGACUGAGACACGGCCCAGACUCCUACGGGAGGCAGCAGUGGGGAAUAUUGCACAAUGGGCGGAAGCCUGAUGCAGCGACGCCGCGUGAGGGAUGACGGCCUUCGGGUUGUAAACCUCUUUCAGCACGGAGGAAGCGAAAGUGACGGUACGUGCAGAAGAAGCGCCGGCUAACUACGUG